AGCGAACGCUGGCGGCAGGCCUAACACAUGCAAGUCGAACGAACCUUUCGGGGUUAGUGGCGGACGGGUGAGUAACACGUGGGAACGUGCCUUUAGGUUCGGAAUAACUCAGGGAAACUUGUGCUAAUACCGAAUGUGCCCUUCGGGGGAAAGAUUAAUCGCCUUUAGAGCGGCCCGCGUCUGAUUAGCUAGUUGGUUGAGGUAAUGGCUCACCAAGGCGACGAUCAGUAGCUGGUCUGAGAGGAUGAUCAGCCACAUUGGGACUGAGACACGGCCCAAAAUCCGAGGGAAGGCUGGAGUGGGGAAUCGUACGGAAGGGGCGAAAGCGUGAGGCAGCCAUGACGGGAGAAAGGGGAAGGGCUUAGGGGAGCAGAAAGCUGUCGCCGGGGACGACAAUGACGGUACCCGGGGAAGAAGCGCCGGCUAAAUUCGUG
rnacentral:rRNA from 1 species